CUAGCGACUUCAGAGUUUGAUCCUGGCUCAGGAUGAACGCUAGCUACAGGCUUAACACAUGCAAGUCGAGGGGCAGCACAGUGUAGCAAUACACGGGUGGCGACCGGCGCACGGGUGCGUAACACGUAUCCAAUCUGCCCGUUACUCGGGGAUAGCCUUCUGAAAGGAAGAUUAAUACCCGAUGGCAUGUAUUUCCGGCAUCGGAGAUACAUUAAAGAUUUAUCGGUAACGGAUGAGGAUGCGUACGAUUAGCUGGUUGGCGGGGUAACGGCCCACCAAGGCGACGAUCGUUAGGGGUUCUGAGAGGAAGGUCCCCCACACUGGAACUGAGACACGGUCCAG
rnacentral:rRNA from 1 species